rnacentral:rRNA from 1 species
GACGAACGCUGGCGGCGUGCUUAACACAUGCAAGUCGAACGGAAAGGCCCUGCUUUUGUGGGGUGCUCGAGUGGCGAACGGGUGAGUAACACGUGAGUAACCUGCCCUUGACUUUGGGAUAACUUCAGGAAACUGGGGCUAAUACCGGAUAGGAGCUCCUGCUGCAUGGUGGGGGUUGGAAAGUUUCGGCGGUUGGGGAUGGACUCGCGGCUUAUCAGCUUGUUGGUGGGGUAGUGGCUUACAAAGGGUUUGACGGGUAGCCGGCCUGAGAGGGUGGCCGGCGACAUUGGGCCUGAGAGACGGCCCAGACUCCUACGGGAGGCAGCAGUGGGGAAUAUUGCACAAUGGGCGGAAGCCUGAGGCAGCAACGCCGCGUGCGUGAUGACGGCCUUCGGGUUGUAAACCGCUUUCGCCUGUGACGAAGCGUGAGUGACGGUAAUGGGUAAAGAAGCACCGGCUAACUACGUG